rnacentral:rRNA from 1 species
UUGACCUCAAAUCAGGUAGGACCACCCGCUGAACUUAAGCAUAUCAAUAAGCGGAGGAAAAGAAACUAACCAGGAUUCCCUUAGUAACUGCGAGUGAAGUGGGAAGAGCUCAAAUUUGUAAUCUGGCAGCCAUUCGGCCGUCCGAGUUGUAAUCUAAAGAAGUGCUACCUGUGCUGGACCGUG